rnacentral:rRNA from 1 species
CGGGUGAGUAACGCGUGGGGAAUCUGCCUUUGAGCGGGGGACAACAUUUGGAAACGAAUGCUAAUACCGCAUAACAACUUUAAACAUAAGUUUUAAGUUUGAAAGAUGCAAUUGCAUCACUCAAAGAUGAUCCCGCGUUGUAUUAGCUAGUUGGUGAGGUAAAGGCUCACCAAGGCGAUGAUACAUAGCCGACCUGAGAGGGUGAUCGGCCACAUUGGGACUGGGACACGGCCCAAACUCCUACGGAAGGCAGCAG